rnacentral:rRNA from 1 species
CAUAGGUUAAUGAGGCGAACCGGGGGAACUGAAACAUCUAAGUACCCCGAGGAAAAGAAAUCAACCGAGAUUCCCCCAGUAGCGGCGAGCGAACGGGGAGGAGCCCAGAGCCUGAAUCAGUGUGUGUGUUAGUGGAAGCGUCUGGAAAGGCGCGCGAUACAGGGUGACAGCCCCGUACACAAAAAUGCACAUGCUGUGAGCUCGAUGAGUAGGGCGGGACACGUGGUAUCCUGUCUGAAUAUGGGGGGACCAUCCUCCAAGGCUAAAUACUCCUGACUGACCGAUAGUGAACCAGUACCGUGAGGGAAAGGCGAAAAGAACCCCGGCGAGGGGAGUGAAAAAGAACCUGAAACCGUGUACGUACAAGCAGUGGGAGCCUCUUAAUGGGGUGACUGCGUACCUUUUGUAUAAUGGGUCAGCGACUUAUAUUCUGUAGCAAGGUUAACCGAAUAGGGGAGCCGAAGGGAAACCGAGUCUUAACUGGGCGUUAAGUUGCAGGGUAUAGACCCGAAACCCGGUGAUCUAGCCAUGGGCAGGUUGAAGGUUGGGUAACACUAACUGGAGGACCGAACCGACUAAUGUUGAAAAAUUAGCGGAUGACUUGUGGCUGGGGGUGAAAGGCCAAUCAAACCGGGAGAUAGCUGGUUCUCCCCGAAAGCUAUUUAGGUAGCGCCUCGUGAAUUCAUCUCCGGGGGUAGAGCACUGUUUCGGCAAGGGGGUCAUCCCGACUUACCAACCCGAUGCAAACUGCGAAUACCGGAGAAUGUUAUCACGGGAGACACACGGCGGGUGCUAACGUCCGUCGUGAAGAGGGAAACAACCCAGACCGCCAGCUAAGGUCCCAAAGUCAUGGUUAAGUGGGAAACGAUGUGGGAAGGCCCAGACAGCCAGGAUGUUGGCUUAGAAGCAGCCAUCAUUUAAAGAAAGCGUAAUAGCUCACUGGUCGAGUCGGCCUGCGCGGAAGAUGUAACGGGGCUAAACCAUGCACCGAAGCUGCGGCAGCGACACUAUGUGUUGUUGGGUAGGGGAGCGUUCUGUAAGCCUGUGAAGGUGGCCUGUGAGGGUUGCUGGAGGUAUCAGAAGUGCGAAUGCUGACAUAAGUAACGAUAAAGCGGGUGAAAA